CCUCAUGGUGGGAUAUGUCUAAUUUUACCACCCCAGCCCCAUUUUUAAUUUCUUCUUUUUAUUCUUUGUAUAUCUGAAAUGUUGACUGUGAAUGGAAAGGUAAAGAAAAUGCUAAUCACUCUUGUAAAGAUAUUUCAUCUCAUCACAAUACUAUUAUUGGUUGGCUGUCUAGAUCUUCUAACUUAUCCAGGAAACCUGGGUCAUGCAGUAGAAAAAAUUCACUAUAUUCUUGCAGAGGGUUUUGUAAAUGGAAUUUCUUGCUAAGCAGCAAUCUCCACACUCAGUCUCAAAGAAACAGUCCACAUGGACUGGAGAGAUGGCUCAGUGGAUAAGAGUACUGGCUGCUGUUACAGAGGUAAAGCUCAAUUCCUGGCAUCUCCAUUUUAACUCACAUUCAUCUUAACUCCAGGUCCAGGGCAGCUAACCCUUCUUCUAACUUCCAUAGGCAUGAAGUACACAUGCAUACAUGUAGCAAAACAGUCAUACAAAAAAUAAAUAAAUUUAAAAAACAACAAUUACACAAUAAACCAUGGUACAGUAUCUACACUUUCUGAUUAAAAUAAAACGAAACAGGAACUUGGAUGUAUACAUUUGAAGAAGAGAAACUCUAUGAUAGUCUAGGGAGUGUUUCUUGUGCUUGUUGUAUUACAAUGGUUUCUUUAGAAUCUUCUCUCUAAUGGCUGAUGGUGGCUAAGUACUCUGUGUCCCCAGAAAUAAUCUAUAGCUCCAAGCUUAAAAUUUAGGUAUUUUGUCUUGUAAACAAUAGUAUUUCAACUAAGCUUUAUUCAUUUGUUAUUUCAGAGGUAUCAGAAAUAAAUUUGAAACUAGUUUGUUGUUUACAGGGAAUAGCUGCUCUGUAUUUUCAUUAAAGUUGGAGGAAGGAAAAAAUGGGCCAUGAAAUUUAAGUAUAAAUUCAAUAAGUAAAGAUUUAUCUUGAAGUUAAUAUGUUGCUUUAAAACACUAUCAUCAACAGCAAGGUAGCUCUUUGAGGAAUGACAUUAACAGAGAAAAGAAUUACGUCCUACCAUUGGAGCUUUGUUGUUUUCCUCAAACCCCAUUCCAUGAUGGCUCCUCCAUUGAAACAGGACACCCUUGCUUCCUGAGACACCUGGUAAUUGCAGCUGAGUCUGAAACAUCGCUGGCUGUUCCCACUGAAGGUUCAUGAAAACACAGGUGAGGCUCCACUUAUCAGAGCUUGAAAAGUUCCAUUUAGAUUUAAUGCAAGCAAUGAAAAGAAGAAGGAAAAGACAAAAUGUUAAGACUGUUUAAUAAGCAGCUUACAAUUAGUCACAGUCCAACCACAGAGAGGAACAGGAAUUCCCUUCCCCUAUUUCCUGGAAAGAACUGGCUGUCAGAAAUAACCUCAGAAUAAUGUCCCUUCAGAUGGCAUUCUGACAGUGACCGGUAACAAUCAAACAAAAACGUGGUAAUGAAACAGAAAACAAAAAUUCCAUCUAGGUAAUUAUUGCCCACAUGCUCAUAAAACGUAGUAUAAUCUUCAGAGUUUUUAUUAAAAUUUUGAAUGUAAUAGCUGGUGAAGGAAGUAUGAUCUUUGAUUUUGGAUUUUAUUUAAAGAGAAUACAAGUAAAUAUUUUUUUCUUCACUGUAUUUAUUGGUGAUGUUAUGGGUUUUUUAAAGUUCAUUUACCAGGGAUCUAAAGAAAAGUAUAACAAAAAUAGUUUAUGAAAUGUGAAAAACUAAAAACUAAGAAUAAAAAUGGUUAAAAUUCCAGCAUGACGAAGUCAAAUUAAUUAAAUACAUAUAAAGGCAUAUGUGAGAUUUAAUAAUAGGUUGCACAGACAUAUUAGAUUACGCCUUCUUUCUUGCCGGCCAGCAGCAAGAUAGCCAACCAGGGUCCUCGAGGCCCAGGCAGGCAGCAAGAUAGCCAGGGACCCGGCCCGAGCUUUGUGGUGCCGUGCUUAUGUGCCCUCUUUCAAUAAGGACAUAUGUAGCAGAGGACUGGAAGUAGUAGAGGGAACGGACGGUCCGUGUGCUAUGGAAAGAUGCAGAGAGCAAGGAAGGACUAAGGUGAGGAGUUGGCAGACGUUGGAAGCCUGCAUUCCACCUGGAUCCGCGGGAACGGCCGUUAUUAGACCGGAGGCAGUUCUGCUUGCCACCCACGGCCACGAUGAUGAUGUCCAGGCCGGGCUGCUGCCAAGGGCAAUAUCGGGGUCUCUGAUCCUGCACUGUGAAGAAGACAUGUAGCAGUGCUGGUGGAACUUCAAACUCUGGAGACAGAAGAUUCAGAUUCUUUCUACUUCUCUAUUAGUUAUAUGAACCCUGACGUACUGCUCCAGUAAUGGGAAGACCUCCACCUCCAAGAGAUAAUGGACUGAGGAUGCUGAACUGUACUGCCUCCUUUUGGGCACCAGAGGGCGACGAUAAAGACGGAGAAAUCCAAC